AUUGAACGCUGGCGGCAUGCUUUGCACAUGCAAGUCGAACGGUAACAGGCCGCAAGGUGCUGACGAGUGGCGAACGGGUGAGUAAUGCAUCGGAACGUGCCCAGUCGUGGGGGAUAACUGCUCGAAAGAGCAGCUAAUACCGCAUACGAUCUAUGGAUGAAAGCGGGGGACCGUAAGGCCUCGCGCGAUUGGAGCGGCCGAUGUCAGAUUAGGUAGUUGGUGGGGUAAAGGCUCACCAAGCCAACGAUCUGUAGCUGGUCUGAGAGGACGACCAGCCACACUGGGACUGAGACACGGCCCAGACUCCUACGGGAGGCAGCAGUGGGGAAUUUUGGACAAUGGGGGCAACCCUGAUCCAGCAAUGCCGCGUGCAGGAAGAAGGCCUUCGGGCUGUAAACUGCUUUUGUACGGAACGAAACGGUCUGGGUUAAUACCCUGGGCUAAUGACGGUACCGUAAGAAUAAGCACCGGCUAACUACGUGCCAGCCGCCGCGGUAACAC
rnacentral:rRNA from 1 species